rnacentral:rRNA from 1 species
UACAGAGACCCCGAGCGUUAUCCGGAAUCACUGGGCGUAAAGGGUGCGUAGGCGGCCAAUAAAGUCAGAGGUGAAAGGCUACGGCUCAACCGUAGUAAGCCUUUGAAACUUAUUGGCUUGAGUGCAGGAGAGGAGAGUGGAAUUCCUAGUGUAGCGGUGAAAUGCGUAGAUAUUAGGAGGAACACCAGUGGCGAAGGCGACUCUCUGGACUGUAACUGACGCUGAGGCACGAAAGCGUGGGGAGCGAACAGG